rnacentral:rRNA from 1 species
GAAGAUGAGUGGCGAACGGGUGAGUAAUACAUAGGUAACCUGCCCCUGUGCGGGGGAUAACAGGAGGAAACUCCUGCUAAUACCGCAUAGCCAUGAGCACCGCAUGGAGCUCAUGCCAAAUAUCCUUUCGGGGAUAGCGCAGGGAUGGACCUAUGGCGCAUUAGCUUGUUGGCGGGGCAACGGCCCACCAAGGCAACGAUGCGUAGCCGGCCUGAGAGGGCGGACGGCCACAUUGGGACUGAGACACGGCCCAGACUCCUACGGGAGGCAGCAGUAGGGAAUUUUCGGCAAUGGGGGAAACCCUGACCGAGCAACGCCGCGUGAGCGAAGAAGGCCUUCGGGUCGUAAAGCUCUGUUGUAAAGGAAGAACGGCGCAUACAGGAAAUGGUAUGCGAGUGACGGUACUUUACCAGAAAGCCACGGCUAACUACGUGCCAGCAGCCGCGGUAAUACGUAGGUGGCGAGCGUUAUCCGGAAUCAUUGGGCGUAAAGAGGGAGCAGGCGGCCGCAAGGGUCUGUGGUGAAAGACCGAAGCUAAACUUCGGUAAGCCAUGGAAACCGGGCGGCUAGAGUGCGGAAGAGGAUCGUGGAAUUCCAUGUGUAGCGGUGAAAUGCGUAGAUAUAUGGAGGAACACCAGUGGCGAAGGCGACGGUCUGGGCCGCAACUGACGCUCAUUC